rnacentral:rRNA from 1 species
GAGCAUACCGCGUGAGGGAAGACGGCCUAUGGGUUGUAAACCUCUUUUUUCAGGGAGGAAUAAAUGACGUGUACCUGAAGAAUAAGCAUCGGCUAACUCCGUGCCAGCAGCCGCGGUAAGACGGAGGAUGCAAGUGUUAUCCGGAAUCACUGGGCGUAAAGCGUCUGUAGGUUGUUAAACAAGUCAACUGUUAAAUCUUGAGGCUCAACUUCAAAAUCGCAGUCGAAACUGUUUGACUAGAGUAUAGUAGGGGUAAAGGGAAUUUCCAGUGGAGCGGUGAAAUGCGUAGAUAUUGGAAAGAACACCGAUGGCGAAGGCACUUUACUGGGCUAUUACUGACACUCAGAGACGAAAGCUAGGGUAGCAAAUGGGAUUAGAUACCCCAGUAGUCCUAGCCGUAAACAAUGGAUACUAGAUGUUGAACAGAUCGACCUGUGCAGUAUCAAAGCUAACGCGUUAAGUAUCCCGCCUGGGAAGUAUGCUCGCAAGAGUG